CGUGAGUGAUGAAGGCUUUCGGGUCGUAAAGCUCUGUCAAGUGGGAAGAAACCGCAUGGUGCCAAUACCACCAUGUGUUGACGGUACCACUGAAGGAAGCACCGGCUAACUCCGUGCCAGCAGCCGCGGUAAUACGGGGGGUGCAAGCGUUAUUCGGAAUUACUGGGCGUAAAGAGCGCGUAGGCGGUCUUUUAAGUCAGGUGUGAAAGCCCGAGGCUUAACCUCGGAAGUGCACUUGAAACUAAAGGACUUGAGUAUGGGAGAGGGAAGUGGAAUUCCUGGUGUAGCGGUGAAAUGCGUAGAUAUCAGGAGGAACACCGGUGGCGAAGGCGACUUCCUGGACCAAUACUGACGCUGAGGCGCGAAGGCGUGGGGAGCAAACAGGAUUAGAUACCCUGGUAGUCCACGCAGUAAACUGUGAACACUAGGUGUAGCGGGUAUUGACCCCUGCUGUGCCGCAGCAAACGCAUUAA
rnacentral:rRNA from 1 species